rnacentral:rRNA from 1 species
UACGAAGGGGGCUAGCGUUGCUCGGAAUCACUGGGCGUAAAGGGUGCGUAGGCGGGUCUUUAAGUCAGGGGUGAAAUCCUGGAGCUCAACUCCAGAACUGCCUUUGAUACUGGAGGAUCUUGAGUUCGGGAGAGGUGAGUGGAACUGCGAGUGUAGAGGUGAAAUUCGUAGAUAUUCGCAAGAACACCAGUGGCGAAGGCGGCUCACUGGCCCGAUACUGACGCUGAGGCACGAAAGCGUGGGGAGCAAACAGG